CUCCUUUGGACAGAACUGGUGCAGACCACAUUCAUCAAGCAGAAAAACCUCGGCUAGGAGAUCCUCGAAACACACAGAGAAAGCCACGACUAAAGCAAAGUGACAUGCAGCCUUCCUGAAGCAAAAGGCUCGCUGGCCUGGAAGGAAUCGCAGACACCGAGGCCCCAAUCUGUUAGAUUCGGUUUCAUCUCGGAUCCUUCCGGGGCCUGGUGGCGCACACCCGUGAUCCCAGCACUCUUCGAAGCUGAGGGAGGAGGAUCUCAGAUAACACACAAAGAAAAAAGCCUCACUUGGAAAGCUUUUGGGUUCUAUCACCAGAACCCACGGCCAAAUGACCUCCCUGGAUCACAAGGUCCCCGGCUCUAAGGGCGAGACUGUAUGUCACGCAGCCAGUCACUCCACAGCAAGUCUGCAUCCAUCUCCACUGCAGGCUAUGCUCCUCCAGUCCUGCAGUGUGGCGUCCACGCCCGGCACAGAGGUCAUGGCCAGGGCUUCAUGGGGCCCGGGAGGAAGACUGCAGGCUCGCCUUUAGGGUGACCUGUCCGGGGGCUGCUGUCAUGCUGGGGACGCUGAGUUACUCACCAGGAAGUCACCUCUGCGGGACUCAGACUGCUCAGGGAGGGCCUGGGCCUGGCCUCCGAUGGCAGCUGCCCCGAGCACACUUCCGGGAAGCCACUCCUGGGACAUCCUUACUUCCUGCUCUCUGCCCAGAGUCUGGAAGGAAGAUGAGGCCUCCUCGGUGGCAGCAUCCAGCUGUGCCUCCCUCUUUCCUGGCCUUCAGCCUGCCUCACCCCUUCCACAGACUCUUCCCUCCUCCGGCCUGGGGUCUUGGUUCCCAGAGCGGGAAGGACCCGGCCCUGCCCACCAGCCUCCUGGCUCCACACCCAUCGCUGGGUCUUCCGCAGAUUGUCUUCAUCCCCUGGCACAAUUGGAGUUCCAGAGAGAGCAAACCGUCUGGGGAGCACUGCGUGGAGCCCCGGACUUCAGGCCCCGGCAAAGGGGAGUGCUCAAUGACCUGAGUCUAUCCUUGUUCGUGGCAGAGUAGUGCUCCACUGCAUCUAAGCACUACAUCCUCUUUAUGCAUUCAUCUGUCGGUGGACACCUAUACGGCAGGAAGAGAGAUCUUUCGCAAAUGAGGAGAGAACCAAGAGAUGAAGAAGAGGGGAGGGGAGAGAGGAGGGGCGGAAGGUGUGUGAUGCACACGGGCCAGCACCCCACAGUGAACGCAACCACGCACUCAAACAUGGACUGAAAAAAUAAAAGUUUGAAAUGAGCCACAAAGACUCCCGACCCGACCCGCGGGCCGUGUGACCGUCAGUGCGUGUUGCAAUUGGCCCUGAGUCUGGGGCCGACGUGCAGCUGUCCCUCACAGAUGUACUCCCCCCCCCCACAUCACUCCAUCCUGCCUGCCAGGGACCAGCCUCUGGGUGACACAGCCGGCAUCAGGGAGGAGGUGUCAGCGGCGGCCGGAAGAAAGCUGAGAUCCUACUUCCCUCCAAAUGGGAGUGGGUGUUGCUAUCCAGGAGGUCUUUAGCUGCUCCCGAAGUAUCGCAGGUGAUGAUGGGCCAGAAGAGAACAUUUUUUAACCCUCAGGGUAGGUCUGACAUAAGGCAGGGGGGCAGACUACACGGUCCUCGUGUUAAAGUUUUUAGUUUGCUUGGAAAUAACCACCCAGCACGAUCUCCUGAGCACUCACUCCAAGCAGAGUGUUGGUCCAGCCCGGGGCUUGGUCAUCCCUGAGCCAGGGCCGGUGCUUCAGGGGACAGCCACCAGCACCCUCCACAGAGAAGCUGAGACUCGGAGUCCCACGGCCGGCCAGCAGGGGGCAGGAGUCCACAGCAGGCGCCCCAGCUCCAGAUCCAGGUGCUUAAACACUGUGCCGUUCAUUUUGGUGAGCGAGGAGGAGGAGGAAAUGUUCCCCAUACUCCCAACACCUGGGAGCGACCACAAAUAAUUCUGAUGUUUUUCGUAACAACACAGAGCUCACACUACACACACAAAUGUGUGUCCUGCGCCUGUGUUUCUCAGUCGACACGCUAUGGGUGUCUUCUGCAAGCGCCGGAAGCAGGCAGGCCACCCUCAGGAUGUGCUUCGAGUCCCAGGUCCUCCCCUGCAGCAGACAACUGCAGGCGCUGUGCAGAGCGAUCCUGAGUCCAGCUGCCCAUCGGGGUGGGUACACAGGGCUCUUCCCGUGUUUGGGAUUUUUGAGUUGCAGUGGAUCCCACCUGGCGUUGUGGCCAGAACAGAGGGUGCAGAGCCCCCAGGAGGCUCGGAAGCCGGAGGGAGGGGACCCGCUGUCUGGAGCCAGGUGCCCCUCAGCGACAUCCCUCCUGAUCAGGCGCUUCACAAAGACAAGAGGACUACUUGCUUUCAGAAGGCUGGGAUUCUGUUGUCUUCAGUAGCGGAGCCUUCUUCCGGAAGCUGUAAAAUUUCAAACCUAAUGCCUGGUAAACUCCUCUAGUGCUUGCGUUUCUUAAACUGCCUCAAGGCUGUAGCCGCAGCCCUUUGCGUUUUUUAUUGUUUCUUUCGGAGCUGUGCGUUUGUGAGUCCUUGUGUGCAGUGUGUCAGGAUCACGCUCAUCCCAGGGAGUCGGUCCAUGCGUGGAACCCACCCUAAUCCCCUCUGCGUCCGCCCCCUCUCUCUGUCUCUCACUCCCCAUCCCUUUCCCAGAAGACCUGUCUCUCUGCGUCCCACUCUCUGGCUUGCAUUUUGCUCUGCUAAGCCGACCUCUCCUGGCCACCUGCCUCUUGGUUCUCACUGGGCUCCACCAUGCCCCCCAUUUCUCUAGAUCCUCAAAGGAACAAAAAAGUCCUUAAUCCCAUAAACACAAAACUAUACUUUUUUAGGAAAAAUAAUUGAAACGAAUUUUUUUCCACUGUGAUGGCUAAAUGACCCAGGAAGAGCAGGUGGCUUUCCGUCUUCUGCUGCUGAGCCUCAAGUCAGGGUGGCCGAGCUGGACGUUAGCUUGGGAAAGGCCAGGCCUGACCAUGGCACUGCCAGCAUGCACCAGACA
ensembl:lncRNA